CCUACGGGUGGCUGCAGUGAGGAAUAUUGGUCAAUGGGCGGAAGCCUGAACCAGCCAAGUAGCGUGCAGGAUGACGGCCCUACGGGUCGUAAACCGCUUUUGCACGGGAAUAACGCGCCCUACGUGUAGGGGUCUGCAGGUACCGUGCGAAUAAGGGCCGGCUAAUUCCGUGCCAGCAGCCGCGGUAAUACGGAAGGCCCGGGGGUUAUCCGGAUUAAUGGGGUUUAAAGGGACCGUGGGCCGGCGGUCAAGUCUGCUGGAAAAUUGCGGGGCUAAACCCCGCCCCGCAGUGGCAACUGGGGGCCUUGAGUGCGCGAAAGGCAGGCGGAAUUCGUGGUGUAGCGGUGAAAUGCAUAGAUAUGACGAAGAACCCCGAUUGCGAAGGCAGCUUGCCGGAGCGGGACUGACGCUGAGGCUCGAAAGUGCGGGUAUCGAACAGGAUUAGAUACCCUUGUAGUC
rnacentral:rRNA from 1 species